UGAUGGACAGUAUUUAUUAGAGGAGACUGGUUUAUAACUGCGCGAGGUCUUCUGUUCACAGAACUACUAGUAAAUUAUAUUUCAACAUGGUUCAAAUGCAAUCUGGGAAAGUUUUGGAAAUUCUUCAUAGCCAAACAAUUCAGAGGAGAUAAAAAGGAUAGCGUUGUGGAAUGAUAGACAAGGAUAGUACACCAAUGUUGAUCAAAUACUGCCAUUAUAACGUGGACCUCACUGCAGUUGUUUAUGAUAACAGAAUCCUACCACAAUAUUUUAUCUCCUCUCUCUAUCUUUCUCCUUUUUCCCUUAUCUUUUCUCUCAUUCACAUCCGUUUUGAAAGGAUGUACGAAAACCAAAUAAUAACUGAUAACUGACUCUCAGUUCAUGCAAAAUCGUUCUAUUUUCUAAGCUAUUCUAAGCCUAGUUUCAUUCCAUGCUAAAUUAUUUCAUGUAAUGCUGAUUUUAUUAUUGUUUGGUGAAAUUCGUUGUUCCAUAGAUGAAAAUUAGGAUUUAAUUUUUAUUAAUUUAAAAUGCUCAGUGAUUAUCUUCCAUAGCAUCUUCGUUCUAAACAAAAAUAUUGAAGACGUCAGAGUUUUUCGCUGUGUUAAAGUUUUCACAAUCAGUUUCACUGGAGUAGUUUUCUAAACAUUUUUAACUGAAUUUUCCGGAAAUUUCCGCUGUGAUAAAAUUCUCUCAUCAACAACGUUUCAAACAAAAGCAUCUUAGUUCUAAACAAAAAUAUUGAAGACGUCAGAAUUUUCUUGAGUUUUUCGCUGUGUUAAAGUUUUCACAAUCAUUGACGUUUUCACUGGAGUAGUUUUCUAAACAUUUUCAACAGAAUUCUCCGGAAAUUUCCGCUGUGAUAAAAUUCUCUCAUCAACAACGUUUCAAACAAAAGUUCCUUGAUCACUUUUUCCAAAAUUUUCGGGAAAAUUUUGCAGUGAUAACGUUGGUU